rnacentral:rRNA from 1 species
UACGUAGGGGGCAAGCGUUGUCCGGAUUCAUUGGGCGUAAAGAGCGUGUAGGCGGCCAGGUAGGUCGGUUGUGAAACUGGAGGCUCAACCUUCAGACGUCGACCGAAACCAUCUGGCUAGAGUCCGGGAGAGGAGAGUGGGAAUUCCGUGGUGUAGCGGUGAAAUGCGCAGAUAUCAGGAAGAACACCCGUGGCGAAAGCGGCUCUCUGGAACGCAACUGACGCUGAGACGCGAAAGCCGUGGGGAGCAAACAGG